UACGUAGGGCGCAAGCGUUGUCCGGAAUUAUUGGGCGUAAAGAGCUCGUAGGCGGCCAGUUGCGUCUGCUGUGAAAUCCCGGGGCUCAACCCCGGGCGUGCAGUGGAUACGGGCUGGCUAGAGGCAGGCAGGGGAGAACGGAAUUCCCGGUGUAGCGGUGAAAUGCGCAGAUAUCGGGAGGAACACCGGUGGCGAAGGCGGUUCUCUGGGCCUGUACUGACGCUGAGGAGCGAAAGCGUGGGGAGCGAACGGG
rnacentral:rRNA from 1 species